rnacentral:rRNA from 1 species
GAUGAACGCUGGCGGCGUGCCUAAUACAUGCAAGUCGAGCGAACAGACGAGGAGCUUGCUCCUUUGACGUUAGCGGCGGACGGGUGAGUAACACGUGGUUAACCUACCUAUAAGACUGGGAUAACUUCGGGAAACCGGAGCUAAUACCGGAUAAUAUUUCGAACCGCGUUGUUCGAUAGUGAAAUAUGGCUUUUCUAUCACUUAUAGAUGGACCUGCGCCGUAUUAGCUAGUUGGUAAGGUAACGGCUUACCAAGGCAACGAUGCGUAGCCGACCUGAGAGGGUGGUCGCAUAGACGGGAACAGAGAAAGGGUCCAGACUCCGACGGUAGGCAACAGUCGGGAAUCCUACGCGAUGGGGGAAAGGCUGACGGUGCACAGUCGCGUGAGUGCUGAAGGUCUUAUGAUCGUUAAACUCUGUUAUUAGGGAAGAACAAAAGUGCAAGUAACCGUGCACGUAUUGACGGUACCUAAUCAGAAAGCCACGGCUAACUCCGUG